GCCAUCUGCACGCAUGCGCACGCAUAAAGAUGUCUUCUCGUGCAGUUUAUGAAGGGAGCUUUGCUCGAUCUGUGUUUAUGGUGGCGAUGUCAAUGAGUUUAUCUUUCGUUGUCGCAGAAAACUACUUGAGUUUUAAAGGUCAAGGCGAAGACCGCAGUCUGAGUGUGGAAGAAGGUGUGUUGUCGGACAUUGAUUUCUUCCUGGAAAACUCCACCUCCCUGGGAGGACAGAUAGAUCAUAGUUCAGCAUCAGCAAGGGCCUAACAUGACAUACAACAGGAAAUGUCGAAUAAUCCACGAAAAUGAAUGGCCGCUCGACUGCCACAUACAAGGUCCGUGCCUGUGUGAAAAUUUCACUUCAGAAACUUUGAAGUACAAACUCAAGAUGGUGUUCUCACAGGCCGACAGCGGGCGCUGGCAGUUCGCAAUUUUUAACGGUGCCAAGUGUCGACAUAACCAUACAUGUAAAGGGUGCUACAGGGAAUGUUACACAACAAUCUUCCCUCGAAAGUGACAGUGACUUUACAGCCAUCAUUGUUAUAUCAACACUUAUUGUUGUCCUCGCCGUCUCGUCAACCGUUGUUAUUUGGUAUUGCCCGAUGUUUGUGGUGAGAACGACCUCAGACAUUAUCAUUACCAUC